rnacentral:rRNA from 1 species
CAUGGCUCAGGACGAACGCUGGCGGCGUGCCUAAUACAUGCAAGUAGAACGCUGAAGGAGGAGCUUGCUUCUCUGGAUGAGUUGCGAACGGGUGAGUAACGCGUAGGUAACCUGCCUGGUAGCGGGGGAUAACUAUUGGAAACGAUAGCUAAUACCGCAUAACAGUAGAUGUUGCAUGACAUUUGUCUUAAAGGUAGGCAAUUGUCAUCACUACCACGAUGGACCGUCGCG